rnacentral:rRNA from 1 species
GAUGAACGCUGGCGGCGUGCCUAAUACAUGCAAGUCGAGCGAACGGACGAGAAGCUUGCUUUUCUGAUGUUAGCGGCGGACGGGUGAGUAACACGUGGAUAACCUACCUAUAAGACUGGGAUAACUUCGGGAAACCGGAGCUAAUACCGGAUAAUAUUUUGAACCGCAUGGUUCAAAAGUGAAAGACGGUCUUGCUGUCACUUAUAGAUGGACCCGCGCUGCAUUAGCUAGUUGGUAAGGUAACGGCUUACCAAGGCAACGAUGCAUAGCCGACCUGAGAGGGUGAUCGGCCACACUGGGACUGAGACACGGUCCAGACUCCUACGGGAGGCAGCAGUAGGGAAUCUUCCGCAAUGGGCGAAAGCCUGACGGAGCAACGCCGCGUGAGUGAUGAAGGUCUUCGGAUCGUAAAACUCUGUUAUUAGGGAAGAACAUAUGUGUAAGUAACUGUGCACAUCUUGACGGUACCUAAUCAGAAAGCCACGGCUAACUACGUG